AGUGAACGCUGGCGGUAGGCCUAACACAUGCAAGUCGAACGGCAGCACAGUAAGAGCUUGCUCUUACGGGUGGCGAGUGGCGGACGGGUGAGGAAUACAUCGGAAUCUACUUUUUCGUGGGGGAUAACGUAGGGAAACUUACGCUAAUACCGCAUACGACCUACGGGUGAAAGCAGGGGAUCUUCGGACCUUGCGCGAAUGAAUGAGCCGAUGUCGGAUUAGCUAGUUGGCGGGGUAAAGGCCCACCAAGGCGACGAUCCGUAGCUGGUCUAAGAGGAUGAUCAGCCACACUGGAACUGAGACACGGUCCAGACUACUAAGGGAGGCAGCAGUGGGGAAUAUUGGACAAUGGGCGCAAGCCUGAUCCAGCCAUACCGCGUGGGUGAAGAAGGCCUUCGGGUUGUAAAGCCCUUUUGUUGGGAAAGAAAAGCAGCAGGUUAAUACCCCGCUGUUCUGACGGUACCCAAAGAAUAAGCACCGGCUAACUUCGUG
rnacentral:rRNA from 1 species